UUCGAUUAGGGCAAUUCAUGUGGAUUGGUUGCUAAAAAAAUCAAAUCCAGUCUACUUGUAUACCCUGUACUUCCUUUUCCGGUUCAGUCUCAGAACCAAUAUGACGAGAUACGCUUCAGAACCAGAGAACCCCUCAAAAUCGGCAAAAGCCAAGGGUUCCUAUCUCAGGGUCACUUCAAG